rnacentral:lncRNA from 10 species
CGGAUUUGCUGAUCCGUCUGCUCCAGCAUAGGUUCACAAAGUACAGUCCGCAGGCCAGCAGCAUCAUCUGGGAACUUAGGAAAAAACCAGCCCUACUGAGUCAGAAACUGGGGAUGUGGCCCAGGCAAUCUUUUACCAAGACCUCCAGGUGAUUAUAAUGCAAGGAAGGAUUCCCUAUCUUGGACCUGAGGCUGCUUUCUUGAAGAAAACUUGACUUUAUUUCAUUUAGUGGGAAGAGCAGCAGCCCAGCUAUUAAGUUCUAAUAUGCAAUAGGCUGCAGGCUGUGAAGUGUUCGUGGCAGUAGACUCUGAAGCUAAGGAGCUGAGGGCUUAACAAGUUUCUAGAAGCUGCCAUCAACAUGCCAAGUCAGUAAAACUGAUAGUUGAUCAGAUUUCAAGGUCUGGGGAGUAUAUCCACUGUGUACUGGGUCUUGAGCUCUAGAGAGCUAGGCCUUGCUAAAAUAAAAGAAUUACCUUACCUACC